UACGUAGGGUGCAAGCGUUGUCCGGAAUUAUUGGGCGUAAAGAGCUCGUAGGCGGCUUGUCGCGUCGUGUGUGAAAUCUCAGGGCUCAACUCUGACAUUGCAUACGAUACGGGCAGGCUUGAGUUCGGUAGGGGAGACUGGAAUUCCUGGUGUAGCGGUGAAAUGCGCAGAUAUCAGGAGGAACACCGGUGGCGAAGGCGGGUCUCUGGGGCCGAUACUGACGCUGAGACGCGAAAGCGUGGGGAGCAAACAGG
rnacentral:rRNA from 1 species